GAGAGUGUCACAACGUCUGGUUUAUGUGGUGCUGAGGGUCACUCUGGGAUGUGCGUGUUAGGAAAGUGCUCUAGCAGAUCCCUGAUGCCUCUUGAGUGAUACCCACUCCUGUCUCCCUACCCACUCUCACCAGUGAACAGUUCCCAGGCGUAUCAUGGCUUGAAAUCGGACCUUCACCACAUCUGUGGGCUGGGC